rnacentral:rRNA from 1 species
GAUGAACGCUAGCUACAGGCUUAACACAUGCAAGUCGAGGGGAAACGGCAUUGAGUGCUUGCACUCUUUGGACGUCGACCGGCGCACGGGUGAGUAACGCGUAUCCAACCUUCCCAUUACUGUGGGAUAACCUGCCGAAAGGCAGACUAAUACCGCAUAGUCUUCGAUGACGGCAUCAGAUUUGAAGUAAAGAUUUAUCGGUAAUGGAUGGGGAUGCGUCUGAUUAGCUUGUUGGCGGGGUAAUGGCCCACCAAGGCAACGAUCAGUAGGGGUUCUGAGAGGAAGGUCCCCCACAUUGGAACUGAGACACGGUCCAAACUCCUACGGGAGGCAGCAGUGAGGAAUAUUGGUCAAUGGACGGAAGUCUGAACCAGCCAAGUAGCGUGCAGGAUGACGGCCCUAUGGGUUGUAAACUGCUUUUGUAUGGGGAUAAAGUUAGGGACGUGUCCCUAUUUGCAGGUACCAUACGAAUAAGGACCGGCUAAUUCCGUGCCAGCAGCCGCGGUAAUACGGAAGGUCCAGGCGUUAUCCGGAUUUAUUGGGUUUAAAGGGAGCGUAGGCUGGAGAUUAAGUGUGUUGUGAAAUGUAGACGCUCAACGUCUGAAUUGCAGCGCAUACUGGUUUCCUUGAGUACGCACAACGUUGGCGGAAUUCGUCGUGUAGCGGUGAAAUGCUUAGAUAUGACGAAGAACUCCGAUUGCGAAGGCAGCUGACGGGAGCGCAACUGACGCUUAAGCUCGAAGGUGCGGGUAUCAAACAGG